GUUCAGUCGACAAUGAAGUUGUUUUGUAUUUUUUUUAUAUUUACAAUUUUAGUUAUGAAUGCCAUUGCACAGGUACCUUACGACUACAUCCCUUUAGGGCGAAAAUCACGUCGCGAGCGACCGCAGCAGUUUGCUUCUGACAUAAACCUGAAUUAUGAACGACUUUACCCAGCUAGGCGUAGAUAUUAUCCUGAUUAAUAAACUUUGAAUAUAUAGU